UACGUAGGUGGCAAGCGUUGUCCGGAUUUACUGGGCGUAAAGAGCGCGCAGGCGGUCGUUCAAGUCGCGUGUGAAAGCCCCCGGCUCAACUGGGGAGGGUCACGCGAUACUGAUCGACUCGAAGGCAGGAGAGGGAAGUGGAAUUCCCGGUGUAGUGGUGAAAUGCGUAGAUAUCGUAAGGAAGGCCGGUGGCGAAAGCGAGCCUCUGGACAGUUACUGACGCUGAUGCACGAAGGCCAGGGGAGCAAACGGG
rnacentral:rRNA from 1 species